AUGUCCGUCGGUUGGCGACCAGGCCUCAUUUCCCGUUGCCAUCAGGCCAUUGCCACCGUACGUCGCUGUUCCCAGCUGGCUCUGCCGCCCUACGUCGACCAGGAGAAACAUGCAUGCAACGCGAACUUGCAGGGUUGUGACGCCUCCGUCCUGCUCGAAUCCACCGAAGGUAACGUGGCGGAGAAGGACGCCAAACCAAACAAGAGCCUGCGAGGGUUCGGCUCCGUGGAGCGGGUGAAGGCCAAGCUCGAGGCCACGUGUCCGGGCAUCGUCUCCUGCGCCGACGUGCUCACCCUCAUGUCCCGCGACGCGGUCGUGCCGGUCAAGGGCCCCUUCUGGCCGGUGGCGUUGGGAAGGAGAGACGGCAGAGUGUCCAGUGCCACGGAGGCCAGCGACGAGCUGCCCCCAGCCUCCGGCGACGUCCCUCUGCUCACCAAGAUCUUCGCCUCCAAGGGCCUCAACCUCAAGGACCUAGUCGUCCUCUCCGGCGCCCACACACUCGGCACGGCGCACUACCCGUCUUUUGCCGACCGGCUCUACAAUAGCACCGGCGAGAGCGGUGCCUGCGGCCUCGUCGACCCGUCUUUGGACAGUGAGUACGCCGACAAGCUGAGGCUCAAGUGCAAGAGCCUUGACGACCGCGCUAUGCUGUCGGAGAUGGACCCCGGGAGCUUCAAGACCUUCGACACCAGCUACUACCGCCACGUCGCCAAGCGGAGGGGCCUCUUCGGCUCCGACGCGGCUCUCCUCUUCGACGACACCACCAGGGAAUACGUCCAGCGCAUCGCCACCGGCAAGUUCGACGGCGAGUUCUUUAAGGACUUCAGCGCGUCGAUGAUCAAGAUGGGCGACGUCGGCGUGCUCACCGGGGCCGAGGGAAAGAUCAGGAAGAAGUGCUACGCCCCCAACUAG
rnacentral:rRNA from 1 species